rnacentral:rRNA from 1 species
UGGGGAAUAUUGCACAAUGGGCGCAAGCCUGAUGCAGCCAUGCCGCGUGUGUGAAGAAGGCCUUCGGGUUGUAAAGCACUUUCAGCGAGGAGGAAAGGUGGUUGGCUAAUACCCAAUCGCUGUGACGUUACUCGCAGAAGAAGCACCGGCUAACUCCGUGCCAGCAGCCGCGGUAAUACGGAGGGUGCAAGCGUUAAUCGGAAUUACUGGGCGUAAAGCGCACGCAGGCGGUUGGAUAAGUUAGAUGUGAAAGCCCCGGGCUCAACCUGGGAAUUGCAUUUAAAACUGUCCAGCUAGAGUCUUGUAGAGGGGGGUAGAAUUCCAGGUGUAGCGGUGAAAUGCGUAGAGAUCUGGAGGAAUACCGGUGGCGAAGGCGGCCCCCUGGACAAAGACUGACGCUCAGGUGCGAAAGCGUGGGGAGCAAACA